CUAACCACAACCUGCUCAUCACCACACACAUAUCCAACUCAUAUGUGAAUAAAUAUAUAAGAAAAAUGCUAAAUGAAUCCCACAAUGUUACUGCUUAUACAUUUUAUUUUAUUUUAUUUUAUUAAGUAAUUAAAAAAUCACUAUUA